ACACUCCUACGGGAGGCAGCAGUGGGGAAUUUUGGACAAUGGGCGAAAGCCUGAUCCAGCAAUGCCGCGUGAGUGAAGAAGGCCUUCGGGUUGUAAAGCUCUUUUGUCAGGGAAGAAACGGUGAGAGCUAAUAUCUUUUGCUAAUGACGGUACCUGAAGAAUAAGCACCGGCUAACUACGUGCCAGCAGCCGCGGUAAUACGUAGGGUGCAAGCGUUAAUCGGAAUUACUGGGCGUAAAGCGUGCGCAGGCGGUUUUGUAAGUCGGAUGUGAAAUCCCCGGGCUCAACCUGGGAAUUGCAUUGGAGACUGCAAGGCUAGAAUCUGGCAGAGGGGGGUAGAAUUCCACGUGUAGCAGUGAAAUGCGUAGAUAUGUGGAGGAACACCGAUGGCGAAGGCAGCCCCCUGGGUCAAGAUUGACGCUCAUGCACGAAAGCGUGGGGAGCAAACAGGAUUAGAUACCCUUGUAGUCCCAU
rnacentral:rRNA from 1 species